rnacentral:rRNA from 1 species
UCGGGAAUUUUGGGCAAUGGGCGAAAGCCUGACCCAGCAACGCCGCGUGAAGGAUGAAGUAUUUCGGUAUGUAAACUUCGUAAGAAUAGGAAGAAUAAAUGACGGUACUAUUUGUAAGGUCCGGCUAACUACGUGCCAGCAGCCGCGGUAAUACGUAGGGACCAAGCGUUGUUCGGAUUUACUGGGCGUAAAGGGCGCGUAGGCGGUGUGUCAAGUCAGUUGUGAAAUCUCCGAGCUUAACUCGGAACGGUCAACUGAUACUGUCACACUAGAGUACCGAAGGGGCAAUCGGAAUUCUUGGUGUAGCGGUGAAAUGCGUAGAUAUCAAGAGGAACACCUGAGGCGAAGGCGGGUUGCUGGGCUGAUACUGACGCUGAGGCGCGAAAGCCAGGGGAGCAAACGGGAUUAGAUACCCCUGUAGUCCCUGAGCGGGCUGGCAAGGCGCAU